CCUGAGGGGGCGUUGCGCGCACCCGGCGGGGCCUGUUUUAGGAAAAGGGCGGCGUCUCUGAGCCCCUGGUGUGGGAGGACUUGAGGGCGGCCCCAGUCUCUGAGAAGGGCCUGGAAGACCGCCCGUCCUGCCUGGAGGGGCCUUCGGUAUGAGAAGGGCGGGGGGCGAAGGAGCGAGGUGCCCUGGGAGGGAAGGCUCCCACCCUGAGCCCGACGGAAGCUCCUCUCGCGCCUCGCAGCACGGCCAGGAUUUGAAGAGGCCAUUUCCCCCGCGGACGCUGGAGGUCCGCCACGUGCCGGGCUCUUGGCGCUGGGGUGCCGCGAUGGCGCAGACAGACACCCUGCCCUCCCUUCAGGGCUUGUAUUGUUGCGGGAAGACAGGCAGUAAACAAGUCAACAAAUGAUACACAGGACUGGUGGAGUUAGUGUCGUUCCCAUUUGCCAUGAGGCAAACGGAAUAGAAUUAUGGUGGGAGUCGCUCAUGUAGUUUGGGCCGUCAGACGAGACCUCCAAGGCGGGACUGGCGUAAUGGUGACAUGCAAGCUCCUUCUCUCAGCCUGUUGCUGUGAAGGAGUGCCUGUCGGUUGACUCAAAGUCAAACAAAUUCCUGUUAUCUCUGUUACAAAAUUUGGCAGCAAAAAAAUUGAUGGCUGACUUUGUCUAAUGUCUCAUGAAGUUUUGGAAGGUACUCUAAACCUAAAUAAUUAUUGGGAACAAGUAAACAAAAUAGAUGUAAGUAAAAUAAAAAGGGUUUUAGGUGAACUUUUUAACAAUAAUUGUGUGUUAUGGUGUAUGUACUUAAAAAUAGCUUCCAAAAUCUUUUUGGUAAUUUGAAACCCUAGAGUUUUGCUAAGUUAAAUGAUGGGAAUUCAGCGAAGGUCUAGAUCGUCUCCAAAUAAGACAAAAUACUAAAACGUUAAUUGCUGAAUAAGUCUAAGUUUACCUACUUUUGACCUCUUAUUACAGGGAAAAUGAAGUUAAAUUUGGGUCUGUUAGUAAACAUGUCUUGUGCUUUAUUGAAAAGAUUGUACUAUGAAGAAGCAUAUGUUUCUAGAAAUUAUUAAAUGAAUUCAUAAAUUUGCCAAUCUAAAGAAUGCCGGUACGGCAGACAGUUCACAAUUGCUAACGUCUUAAUUUUUACUAGAAAUUAAGGUUUCUGAGGGUUAAAAAAUUCUAAUUAAUAUAUGUAAUUAAAACUACUAAAAUAAUAAGGGAAAUAUCUUAGUAUAAAAUGUGUAGUUAGUAAAAAAGAGAGAGAAAAAUAUUGUUUCAGUAGAAAUUAUAAUACACUCUUGUGGAUAUUAGAUUCUAGCUCUCCUAAUUGUCUUUGAGGUUUUGUUUUCCACCUGUAAACUGGACUGGAUCCUGAAUUCUUCUAGUUUCCUCCAAUACCUGGCUACAACCCUCCAAACUAACAUGAUCUGAUUUUCUCCUCCCUUUUGACUUGGAAUCACUGACAACUAAAACUGCCGUUUUUCCUGAAGCCCUGCAAAUUAAAGCUGAACAACUUGAUAUGAAUCACAGAGAAAUCACCGCAAUGGCUUAGAAAUGCCUCUUAUUAAAUACUUGAUUGCUUGCACCACAGACCUAACUUUGGGAGCCCACGUGCAUCACUGCCUCCUGAAAUUGGACACGCUGCUUAAUUGCACAGACCUAUUCUCCGACCCAAGAGACUGGCUCAGUGAGAUGGAGCACUCCACCAACCCAACUUCUGGACUGGAAACUCCUCAUGAAGCUCAAAUGCGGAACUGAAGGGCUUCCGAAGAGGCCUCCGCAAGACGUGCCGCUUUGACAUCUGGAAUAUUUUGAGCUGAAGUCAAUCAAGACCCUGCAGGCUCAGGAAACUUUAAGGCUUAUUACCAGAAACCAGUUCUUACGAUCCAUCUGUAUGGCAGGGCAAACCUCUAAUUUGAGAACAUCUGCUCUUCUAAUCAUCCCAUAAAUACCCUCCUCCCCCUUGAAGCCCCAGGUCCCUGUCCCAUUGGCUCAAGAUGACAUAAGUACCUCGCUUUACCUUUCUGUCUCUGAACUUCUCAUGUAUGUGGAGUUCCCAUGUGUACAAAGUUAAUUAAAUCUGAUUUUCUCCUAUUAAUCUGUCAAUUUAAUUCUUAGAACAGCCAGAAGAACCUAGAAGAGUAAAGGAAAAUUUCUUCAUCCC
ensembl:lncRNA